rnacentral:lncRNA from 1 species
GGUUUUUCUCUUCCAAGGGAGGCGGGGGUGUGGUUGCAAAAUAAAUCUUAGGGUUUUUUCUUCUCCCCAAAGAAAUCAUUGUGUUGUAACGCAGAGAGAGCCCAAGCUGAUGACAUUUUUAUGGGGCUGCCUCUAGUGAGAACUGUAAUGUCUGCUAGGGCCAUCCAGAGGGUCGGGUAGAUCUCUCUCUCUCUCUCCAUUGCCAUCCCCCACGCCUUUCUCUCACAGCAAUACAACUUCAGCUCAAUACUUGUCUAGAAUUCUCAGUGGGGCUACCUAGGCUAAAAGGGGGUGGGGGUGGGGGAGGUGACAUCAUAUCCUCAAGAGCUGAUUGGUUGCUGUCAGGCUUCAGGAAUGAUAUCAUCUCUGCUUCUGCCUCCCCACCCCCCUUUACUUCCAGUCCUUUCCUGGUUGGGCAAGCCCCCCUCCGUGGCACCCCACCCCAGGAUACCCCGUUGCCUUGGAGACCACAAGUUUUCAACCUCGUUGUCUGAAGGAAUGGAUGGUGCAGUCUCUGUGGGAAGUUGGUCCACCUCUGUUCCUGUCUUCUGGACUCACUAUGUGGAUUCAGAGUCAAGAGAAAGUCCCACAGAAGAUCAAACUACAUCAGGGGGAUCAAACCCAAGAGCCAGAAGAGGACUUCGGGAGAAGCCCUGGAUCACUGGUUUUUCUUUCCACUUUGCAGGGAGAGAAACUGAGGAAAGAUCGUGUCACCAGCAAUCUCUAGUUGUAACUGUCACCAUCCAACCCUCACGGGUAAGUUUCAUCCACUCAUAAUAUAUUCUUAUUAUAUAAGAAAGUCUCUGGAAUCAAAUACAUUCUAGUACGAUAAUUCUAGGACUAUUGUUUUCAAAAGAAACAAAAUCUAAGCAAUGCUAUUAGGCGGAAUGUAUUUUCCUCAUAUAAGACCAAGUGGGAUAUCGCUAAGAAACUAACAAUGAUGCUGGCUUUGAUGCGGAGGGCUUUCUUAGGUCACUUGUCAGUAUAUCAGCUGCAGCUUUCUACUGAAGAAGGUGUAAUGCAAACUUGAGCUCCCACCUUCUUCCAACUCUUGGGACUCAUUUCUUACGGAGUUUCCAAACACACGUAGAUGAGAUUCUCCAUUAGCAUCUAGUAGAAUGCCAAACUUGCAGGACAUAAGUGGGGAAUGAGGGGAAGGGUGGAUUUCUUGAGGAAAAAGAAUGGGGUGCAUACUGGAGUGGAUCACGGGAGGAUAAGGAGAAUGAUGACCCCUCACUGGUCAUCAAGGAAAACCCCUGUGAGAGGGAACCAAGGACCAUAUACCACGCGGGCUAUUCACGGUUGCAGUUUCCAUGCUGUAUCCUUCUUAUUCAGUCCACGUUCCCCUCUCAUCACCUCUUUUUUCCAUUUGCAUGGCUAAUAUGUGAUCGAGGGCUUCACAAGAACAUAAAUGUGAACCGAAGCAACUCUAAAUAGGGAGGGAAGCAGUUGCAAAAUAAAGUACAUUUAGUUCAUCUCA